AAUCAGACCUCAACCAUGAUCAGAGCGACUGCUAGGUCGGCGCCCGAUCGGCAAGAAGAGAUUAGCAAAUUGAUGCGAAGUGCAAGUUUCAACACAGAUCCAUACGUCCGUGAAUUUGGAAUCAUGGUCAAAGAUGAGAUGACAGACGUGACUGGGCGGGUGCUGCAGCCGCCCUCCAUCCUCUACGGGGGCAGGGUACGUGCGGGGCGGCGGGGAACGUGUGGCUGUGGGGCGUGUCUCUGCCCCGCGACCCCUCUCAGGUACUGAGUCAUCACCCGCGGUGUAGACUGUGUCCCACGCAGGAGAAUCCUUUCUACUCCGGGCUGAGCCUGUAAAAGAUGUGAGACUUCAUAAAGGAAUGGCUUUCCUUGGUCCUUUUUAAAGUUUUUCAGAAUUAUCGUUAAUGUUUUCAGAAGAUAAUUUUUAUUAUCCCAUGAAAGUUUAGAGAGCACCAUUCUUUGCGUGACAGACACUCGCCGAGGGUUGAAUUAUUUCCCAGAGGGCUGUACUGCUUUUCUAUUCUUUAACUUUUGCUUUGGGGAUGUUUGGUAACAGUUUUUUGUCCUUGCUAAUUUAACUUCUAGUUUUGUUUGUUUUGAGGCAGGGUCUUGCUCUGUCACCCGAGCUAGAAGGCAGUGGCAUGACCAUAGGUCACUGCAGCCUCUAACUCCUGGACUC
rnacentral:sRNA from 1 species